ACAUGCAAGUCGCGCGUGAAAGGACUUCGGUCCGAGUAAAGCGGCGCACGGGUGAGUAACGCGUGGAUGAUCUACCCAUGAGUUAGGAAUAACGGCUGGAAACGGUCGCUAAUACCAAAUACGCUCCGAUUUCAACUUCGGGGGAAAGGUGGCCUCUGCUUGCAAGCUACUGCUCAUGGAUGAGUCCGCGUCCCAUUAGCUAGUUGGUGGGGUAACGGCCCACCAAGGCGACGAUGGGUAGCCGGUCUGAGAGGAUGACCGGCCACACUGGGACUGGAACACGGCCCAGACUCCUACGGGAGGCAGCAGUGGGGAAUAUUGCGCAAUGGGCGAAAGCCUGACGCAGCGACGCCGCGUGAGGGAUGAAGGUCCUCGGAUCGUAAACCUCUGUCAGGAGGGAAGAACCGCCACGGUGCUAAUCAGCCGUGGUCUGACGGUACCUCCAAAGGAAGCACCGGCUAACUCCGUGCCAGCAGCGGC
rnacentral:rRNA from 1 species